rnacentral:misc_RNA from 1 species
UGAAUAUGUCAUGAGUAUGCAGUCAAGUUGACCAAUUACACAUACUAGAAAGCUGGACGAGAGCAAUUAUCACGAGAAAGAGAAAGAUACAGGGGCUGAUAUUCAGAAUUUAAUAGUGAGGACUCAAUAACCUCUUGUUGCAGAGCUAAAAACUUAUAUUCCAUGUGUAUGAACGCAUCACACGGGAAGAAAACAUCCAACUAAAACCACCUAAUUUUUGCUACUUUUGCUAUCGCUAAACAGCACGAAGAAAGGAAUCAAA